UGGAAGGGGUAUUUGCAAGAAAUGUCUUGCAAGUGUCAAGAACACACCUUUCGAAAGUGUUGUAAAUUGUUCUUGAAAAGUUCAAAACAGUUGGUUCUUCUACUUGAAUGCUUGAUUCCGUAUUAGUAACUAUGUUUACAAUCGUUGUAAAAGUGUGGCUAAUAAAAAGUAGAAGAUUAAUGAGAGAAGAGAAAGUGCUUCACAUUCGGAACGUGAAUCAAAUGUAGAUCUCUGCGAAAGCAUAUGGUACUUACUUCCUCAUAUGAACUACCAAAGAAAUUGGAAAAACCAAAGAUUGUCUUUACAUUCCAAUUUUAAGGAACUUAAUUCCAUCACUAUAAGGGAUGGAUGAAUGUUUUGUUUGACAAAACAUUGUUCUUUAUUAAUGAAUGAUUGGAUUAUUGUAAUCUAAUUGAUUGUCUCUAUAGUAGAGAUGAUAUGGUAGUGUUAACUGUUUA
rnacentral:lncRNA from 1 species